GGGCAGCUCUCUUGCCUUUCUUUGGCAAAGAACCCAUUUAUGUUCUUCUCAUGGUAGGUGCGGUUUCUAAAGUUGGUGCAUCUUGCCAAGCCAAUGGUGUGUGCCCCUGCUUUCACAAUAAGCAACAGACAGUCACAAAAUGUAAUCAAAGUGUUCGGGAUCGCCAAGAAAUGGAAAAAGCUGAACAGGUGGUUUUCCAAGCUUUGGUGGAAAUACUUCAAAGAGGCCAAAACCUUUGAGACCAAGGAGCAGGUUUCUCCAGAAAAGUAGCAGCUAGCCGCACAAGUACUUCAGAAUCAUUUAUCUCUUAAGUUGACGGCCGCCGCCCGCCGAUAUCUCCAGAAAAUACCAGUGGACCACCAUAGUUGAAUCAGUUGUCAGUCAUCCUCCUGCGAAAAGAUCGCCUCAACCACCCUCUGUCCUAUCUUCCAAAUCCUAUUCGUAAUGCUACGAAUGGAUGGGUGCUGCCAAUUACCAUGGGCAGCUUGAUUGCGAGUCCACCAGAGUUGCCAUACUACAAUAUGGAACAUUAAGCAGUCGGCUCGUUCAUUUGUGCCCAAUCUGCAGCAGGCCACUACUAAUUCUAAGCAUUCAUCGACCACUCUGCAGUCCAUGAUUCGUCGAACAGUUAUUAACAGAGAAAAAAAAACAAAGGUAAAAGCGACACGAAGAACCAGCAGACUCUAACGGACAAAGACUGCUUUAAGGCACACAUGAUCAUUUGGACCAUUGAACGUACAAGGCCCCCAACAU